UGUUGCUUCGGCGGGCA
rnacentral:rRNA from 1 species